rnacentral:rRNA from 1 species
UACGGAGGGUGCAAGCGUUAUCCGGAAUCACUGGGCGUAAAGCGCACGCAGGCGGAUCGAUAAGUCGGGGGUGAAAGCCCGGGGCUCAACCUCGGAAUUGCCUUCGAUACUGUCGGUCUCGAGUCCGGGAGAGGUGAGUGGAAUUCCUAGUGUAGAGGUGAAAUUCGUAGAUAUUAGGAAGAACACCAGUGGCGAAGGCGGCUCACUGGCCCGGUACUGACGAUCAGGUGCGAAAGCGUGGGGAGCAAACAGG